AUGGUUGGCUUUUCGGCAUCCACCACUUGUGCUCUCCUCCUCCUGCUCAUCUUCUUCUUCUACCUUCCUACUGUUGCCAUCUCCUUGUCCUUCAACUACUCCACAUUCAGCUCAGCGGACCAGAACGCCAUCAAGAUCGAAGGCGACGCAUCCUUCAGCGUUGGAUGGGUCGACAUCAGCGCCAACAGGUACGGAAGCAUCGACUACAGCAAUGGCCGGGCAUCGUACAAUGCCCAGCCGAUGCUGCUAUGGGACAGGGCGACCGGCGAGGUUGCCAGCUUCACCACGUGCUUCUCGUUCGUCAUCUCCAGCAACAUCAGCAGCAAGGGGCAAGGCAUGGCCUUCUUUCUCGCCGGCUACCCGUCCAGCCUGCCAGCCCGCUGCCCUGACUACAACCUCGCCCUCACCAGCCAGAGCGCGGAUGCCGUGGCGGCCGGCGACAGCCGGUUCGUGGCGGUGGAGUUCGACACCUUCAACAAUACAGUGGUGUCCGACCCCCACGAUACCUUCGACCACAUCGGCAUCGACAUCAGCUCCCUCCGGUCGGUGCGCACACUGACUAUGCCAAGCUUCGAGCUGACGGGCAACCUGACUGCCGACAUCAACUACGACAAUGUUUCCAGCAUCUUGUCAGUGACGGUGUGGCUCGGUGAUGAUAACGAAGGCAAGCCAAGAAACAGGAGUUACAACCUUCGCUCCAAGGUUGACCUCAAGAGCGCACUGCCGGAGCAGGUCUCGGUCGGCUUCUCCGCAUCCACAUCCAACGCCAUCGAACUGCAUCAGCUACACUCUUGGUCCUUCAUAUCUUCAUUGGAACCGCCGCCGCCGCCAGCAGCAGCAAUAUCUUCCCUGUCAAGGCUGGGUCCGGGAGUAAUAGCCGGGGCAGCUGCUGGUGCAUCAGUGUCCCUCGUGCUCAUCUUCGCCGCUACAGUGGCACUCGUUGUGCGUCGCCACCAUCAACAAAAAAUGGUGGAGAUGGAUGAGUACCACACAGACUCGGAAGGCGAAGGUGACCCGAUGAUGGAGAUCGAGAUGGUGAAGGGGCCAAGGCGGUUCUCAUACCACGAGCUCGUGGAAGCGACGAGGAACUUUGCCGCGGAGGAGAAGCUUGGGCAAGGUGGCUUCGGUGCGGUUUACCGAGGCUACCUGAGAGCCAGCUGGGCUUCCCGUGGCCAUUAA
rnacentral:rRNA from 1 species